UACUGAAGAAUGAGAACUCUAUGUAACAGUACAGAAAGGAUUUUAAAAGACCCAAAAGAAAUCUGAAGUCUUUGCAAGGAAUGGAAUUCUUAAAGAAUACUGCUACAGGCCAAGUGGCUCUCUGGAUUCCCUUCGAUGGAACUAUUUGGCUCUCAUGUUUUUCAUUUGUUUUUGUGGCUGCACCACAUGAAAUCAAUUCC